GAUUAUGGCUCAGAACGAACGCUGGCGGCAGGCCUAACACAUGCAAGUCGAACGCACCGCAAGGUGAGUGGCAGACGGGUGAGGAACACGUGGGAACAUGCCCUUUGGUUCGGAAUAACUCAGGGAAACUUGAGCUAAUACCGGAUAAGCCCUUUUGGGGAAAGAUUUAUCGCCGAAGGAUUGGCCCGCGUCCGAUUAGCUAGUUGGUGUGGUAAUGGCGCACCAAGGCGACGAUCGGUAGCUGGUCUGAGAGGAUGAUCAGCCACAUUGGGACUGAGACACGGCCCAAACUCCUACGGGAGGCAGCAGUGGGGAAUAUUGGACAAUGGGCGCAAGCCUGAAUCCAGCCAUGCCGCGUGAGUGAUGACGGCCCUAGGGUUGUAAAGCUCUUUCACCCACGACGAUAAUGACGGUAGUGGGAGAAGAAGCCCCGGCUAACUUCGUGCCAGCCGCCGC
rnacentral:rRNA from 1 species